AGGUGGUGACAAAGACAUUACCAAGUUCUCACCUUAGUGAUUCCUUAGCUUUAUACUUCUGGAGUACCAGGGCAGCCCUAAGCAACAGCUUGGUCCCAAACACUGAUGUGGAGUAUUGAAAGCAAUCAGGCAUGAUGAUAUGCACCUCAAUUUCAGUUGCUGAUACAGAAAGUGAUGUGCAUCUAAUAACUACCAAGGGUAUUUUAUUACCAUUAUGUAAAUGAGGAACUCUAGGUGCAGGAGUUUUACUAGUAACUAGAAGAGGCAGUACCAGGAAUUACAGUUGUCUUUCAAGGGUAAAUUCUAUGCUCAUUAGACUCUGCCAUAACUUCCUCAUAUGUUCAGGCUAUUGAUCUGAAAUUGUAAACUCAGUUUUCAAAGAGAAGACCAAUAAAAUUUGCUUGGAUCUUAUGGAAAUUCCUUGCUUUUUUUUCCCCCAUAAAUCACUCCUCAAGAAAUUCUAACCUACAGGACUCAGGUUAAAACACUCAAAUGGAUGAGGACAUCGAAAGUCAUUUUCUUUGAGCCUUUUCACAUCUUUCAAAACCUACUUGAACCAAUGCUGUGUGCAUGUGAUGAUACCAUCCCACAGCUAAUAAGAGUCUCUUUCAGUGAUGCCUGAAAUUGACAGAAAAUGAAACAAAAUCCCAUAUAAUGACAACCAUUUAAAAGUCUCUGUCCUCUAGGAAUCAAAGGACUCAGCAGCAUGUCACAGAGGAGGAUUGAAUCACAAAUGAGGUAGAUUUAGAGGUACCUCUUUAAUGAUGAAGCACUGAUUUUUCUAAUGUGUCCCCCAGCACUGGUGAUAGUAAGUCACUUCUAAUUACCUUUUCCUUUCUGGGCUAUGUACAGAUAAAUGCUUGGGAUAUUAAAAUACCUUGUGGGCUGGUUAUUUAAUUGCUACAGAAUUGAUUUCAUGAAGGAAAGAAAAACAGAUUAGAUCCUAAGAUGUAAAUGUGAGACUUGACAGACUGCAGUAUGUGCUCAAGUCUAUCAAUAGAACUGCCAGCCCCCAGUCUCUAGCUGGCUAUGAUGGAUCCUUGCGGCACAAGAAGAACACAUUUGACAGUUACAAAAGCAGAUGCAACUGUCCUCCCCUCCAAAAUAACAAGCAAUGGUACAUUUUUGUGUUCUCAUUUCUCAUGCCAUUUAAUGUAUUAUAUACAUUAUCAAAAUAAUUUUAGAUUAGAAUGGCUUCCCUGUUUGCUUAUGAAGUCUUCAUGCUUCCCUUUUGCUCUUUUCUCUUUGUUUAUUCCUUACUUCAAUAUCACAGGCGGUGAUGGUAUGCUCGUAGGUUUCGUACUUUUGCUGUGUCUCAUGACUACAAACUAGGAAACACAUAAGAUACAUUUUCUCUCAUCUUGCUUCAGAGAAAUCUUGCCAUUUCAGAUGAGAUACCCGCAUAACGGAAAACAUCAGGCUUAAUAUUACUUUAAAAUUUAUUUACCUAACAUUUAUUUGUUUAGCAAAUGUCAGUUUAGUAUUUACAUUGUGUCAGGCACUGCUCUGUGUGCUGUGGAUUCAGUGAUGCAUAAGACAACGUACUUGCUCUCACUUUCCCUCCUCUCUAGAUGGGAAAUACACCAUGAGCAGAAAUGUAACAGAUUCCCCUCAACUUACGAUGGGGCAACGUCCCAGUAACUUGAAAUGCUAAGAAUUCCAAGAUCAAAGUGCUGACAAGUCUCAGGUAUUUCAUCACAGCAUUAUGAAAAUGGUCCAAUACAAGCAGAAACACAGACAAAGGAAGUAGACCAGAUGGAUAACUGGGGAGUGAUAUUCCAGGCAAGUGUGUAUGUGUGUUUGUGUGCAUAGGAGGAGCAAGAAGGUCAGGAGCGGGGCUGGAGUGAACCGCGAGAGUUGGGGGAGAUGCAGGCAGGGGCAAGGAUCAUGGAUCCAGCCCUAUAGGGUAGAGGGUCUCAACUUUAUCUGUCUCCAUGCCCCAUUUUAUAGCAAAACUUUUGUAACAAUCAUGUUUUUAUUUUAAACAAAAUAGAAGAUCUAACCUAUCUAUAUAAAUAUAUAGGAAGACCAGAUUAGAGGCAUAAUAUAACACAUGGAAUAUAAUAACUUAAAACAUGUACCAAGUAGACAAAAUUACGUAGUCUCUUAAUGAAGCUUAAAGCACUUGCUUUUCUCAACUGCUUUGAGGCAAAUAGUCUUAUCCAACUUCUCAAUAUAUUUUAUUUUGUUUAUUUAUUUUGAGAUAGGAUCUCACUCUGUUGCCCAGAC